GAUGAAGAACGCAGCGAAAUGCGAUACGUAAUGUGAAUUGCAGAAUUCAGUGAAUCAUCGAAUCUUUGAACGCACAUUGCGCCCCUUGGUAUCCCGAGGGGCAUGCCUGUUCGAGCGUCAUUUCACCACUCAAGCCUGGCUUGGUGUUGGGCGACGUCCUCUUUGGGGACGCGCCUCGAAACGCUCGGCGGCGUGGCACCGGCUUUAAGCGUAGCAGAAUCUUUCGCUUUGGAAGUCGGGGCCCCGUCUGCCGGAAGACCUGCUCGCAAGGUUGACCUCGGAUCAGGCAGGGAUACCCGCUGAACUUAAGCAUACAAUAAGCGGAGGA
rnacentral:misc_RNA from 1 species